rnacentral:rRNA from 1 species
ACGUUAGCGGCGGACGGGUGAGUAACACGUGGGUAACCUACCUAUAAGACUGGGAUAACUCCGGGAAACCGGGGCUAAUACCGGAUAAUACAUGAAACCGCAUGGUUUCAUGAUGAAAGACGGUUUUGCUGUCACUUAUAGAUGGACCCGCGGCGUAUUAGCUAGUUGGUAAGGUAACGGCUUACCAAGGCAACGAUACGUAGCCGACCUGAGAGGGUGAUCGGCCACACUGGGACUGAGACACGGCCCAG